UGGCAGAACCACCUAAAUUAUAUGGCCCACAUGCACCUAUCAUUGUCAUUAAGACCUCUGAUUACUGCACAUGAGAGUCAUAUAACCCAGGUAGUCUGUCGGGUGCCCUUAGAGGACCCCGAAUCAUCCACAUUUUAACUCAUACAGGAUCAACAUGGAGUUACCACAACAUUACAUCAUUUGUUACAAAAAUAACUUACAUUGGAGUGCGGAAGAUUUAUAACUCAAUUUACAACAUAUGAUGGAAUAUAAACAACUAAAUUUCCAAAAGGUGUGCGGAGUAGCGGAAGCAUCUUAGGUGAAGCUUCUAAGGUAGAAGAGGUGGAUAAAUCAUGUCGCGCCCACCGACAUGACCUCCAUUAGCAGCAUAAGUCAGCACCUGCAACAGGGGUUAUAAAACCCUAAGUACGGGAGUACUCAACAAGACUUACCCGGCAGAAAAAGAGGAGAACUUAGGAAUGCAGGCUUAGGGUAGACAAGGAGUGGCUGAGCAAGGAGCCAAAGUGUUUUGCGGAAAAGCUUACUAAUAGUGCAUUCUUACUUUCAAGUUUUACCCACGAAUUCCUCUCCUUAAGAGGCCGAGGAGUUCAAGGACAGUGUAUCUAGUUGCUUCUCACAGACGAGUCUGUAAGUUCCUAGUCCUUAAUCAAAGUAUUUUCUAUCCAACGGCCAUAGCUUCAUGUCACUCUGAGUCCGGGAAUUGGGAUCCGAACCUCAUGAGACAUUUCCCCCUUUCUCAUUUUACCACUUAGUUGCAUAAUUAACUACGAUGAGGGUCGAAUGAAUUGAGUCUCCCAAUCGGGGAGCAACGACGAUUCGAAUCGCUUAGCAAUCCAGCUGGAGUUCCUAACCACCCGACAUAUGUAGAACCAAAUCUUGCAUAUAUCAACCCAAGUCAGGCUCUCCCCAAAUUUGACCAGGUUUGCGGCACCCGAGAGCACAGUACCCCACCAUCCUAUAGCCGAUCUAGAUGUUUUCCGGUCAUCUCAGAUCCGUAAGGUGGGCACACGUUACUCUCGCCAUCUUUCCACUCCCAGUGCGCGAGUAGCUGUUCGCGUCGAGGGAUCACAAGACCGGGCUUACCGAGGGCAAGUGGCUAGUACUAUAAAUUCUCAACCCAGCAGGCCAUCAACGGACCGGUCCUUAACCGACACAGUUGGAGACACUACUUUAAGACUCCAUUCUUAAAGCAAGUCCACCGACCGGUCUCAAGUUGAAACAUCAUUGACCAUAAGUGUAUUCCACAACAACCCUUCAAACUUUCUUGUUUGAAAACCUAUCUAGUAGCAGGGCUAAGCAUCACUACGCAGUUUUUAAAAUAAAACAGGUGCCAAGGACAAGAUAACAAGUAUCAAGGUAGUAAAUGCAGCAAGUAGGUUAACCCAAUUCUCAACUACCUAAUGCAGCAUUUUCAAACCAUAAGUGAUAAAAGAUUCAAAACAUUCAAGGAGGGGUUAAUGCAUCCGGGGCUUGCCUUGGUUGCAGGGCAGGGAGGGACCCUCGGAGACUUCCCAAGUCUCGGAUCCUACUUCUUCGAACGGAGCACCGACCUCGGGGUUCGGUUCAACGGUCGCUCCUUCGGUCACGUGCACUAUACGCAAAAUGAUGGAUGCUCAUGAUAUGCGUAUGACAAAUAUGCAAGAAGGACCAAGUCGAGUACAACUUGCCUUCUCGGUGCAACACAGAGUAAAUAAUAAUUAAAUUUGUUUAUCAACUUAGUAUUUUUACCCAAAAGGUUGCAUCUGUAAAUUAAGACUUCUCUUAAUCCAUAAUGAUCUUAAAUUAACUAAUUAUUAAUCCUAUUUACCUUAAUUAAUUCUUAAUUAAUUACUAAUGACAGUAAUUAAGCAUUAAGGCCAAACAAUAAUUAAAUGCCAAAGGUCAUUAAGGUCAAUGACCUCAGGUCAUCACAUAAUCCCAAAAUCACUCAAACCCUAAUUUUGAGAAUUUAACUAAUCAUUACCUAAUUAUUUUGGAAUUAUUACUAAAUUACUAAUUAAGGGUAUAAUAAUAUUUUAUUCAAACUUCAUCCAAAUGCCACCAAACUUUGUGUGAAGCCAGGGAAUAAUAUUCAGAGGCAUCCCACAAAUUUUGGUGAUUUUUGGACAUAUCACUAAAUUAUUGAAAUUCAUGAUAGUGUUAUUUACUAAAUAAAGGCUACCAUUUUCAUACAUAUAUAUAUUGCUAGAAAAUAAAACCUAGCAUUUUUUUUUCUGUGUUCUACAUACUGCAUAGAACAUAUCCAAAUAUUUUCACUAUUUUCGAAUCUGCACAACUUUUCUAUAUAUAUUCAAACAUAAAUCAAAUUUGCACACAUAACCAGGACAGCAGCAUAUAUGCAACUUCAUUCAACCAUAAUUAGAGAUCCAAGCAUCCAAUAAAGGUGAUAUUAGACUUUCUGGAAAGCUUAGAUAAUUUUCUGCAACUUUGUUAUUAUCUUCGAGAACUGAUUUAAUAGAUAAGAUGGCCAAAUAGCAUGAAGAAACAUUCCUGUCCAGACCUUGGACAGAACCAGACAUUAAGCUUCAUACAUCUAUAACCAGAGUUAUAGAUCACCAAAAUUCAUGAUCCAUAACAUUUUGGAAAGCUUAUGAAAAUUACUAUAAUUCAUCUUUUAUUAUGAAAGCAUGAUUCAUAAGUUUAGCAAGUUGAAAUUACACUACUACAGAAACUGAUCCAGGAUUUGAUAGAGAAGAACCAUUUCUGAAACUUAAAUUUAAACAGGCAUAACUCAGAAACUAUAGGGCCAAAUGCCACCAGAAUUUAACACCAGGUAGAUACAUGAAUGAUAUACAACUUUGUUAUAGACAAGUUUCACAUCCAACAUUAUCUACCUAGAGCAAUUCAUAAUGUUCCAAAAACUAUCGAGAAACCACUAACAAUUGAAUUACAGAGAAAAACAUUUCAUUUAUGUUCCAAACUUAAACCUGGGCAAAACCCAGCUCACCAACAGUUGAAAUACAUCAAAGAGAUACUAGAAAAUAUCAUGGUCAUCCCUAAAUAAAUACCUUUCAUGUCUUUAUUAAUUUAUUUAGAUAAAUAGACAAAGUAAUAACCAUAUAUCAAAAGUACACAGUAAAAUCUGACAAAACUACAGAAGCUCAUAUAUUCUCUCCAAAGUCUACUGUAUAAAUUUCAUACCAUUUGGUUAAGUAUAGCAAUUUCCAUGAAAAAGAUAAAUUUCCAUCACAAGGAAGCAUGUAACAACAAGAUAAAUAAGAAACUCGACAUUUUCUACACACACAUAGCUAACUUAUGUAUCUAUAUGAUAUAACAACCUCAUAUAAAGGUAGAGGAACCAUAUUUUACAUUUAUUCAUUUUUAGUUUAAUUGUAAACUAUUUAAUAAGCACUACACAAGAUAAAUCAAUAACUUAAUCAUAUAUCAUCCAAUGAAUCUAAAAACUUAACCACAGCACACACACAUAAUCAUUAGUCUACCAUAAAAGUUUCAUCUUAAAAGAAGCUAUACAGCAAUAGAUAUGAAUUUCUUCCUUUUAAGCAUAAUUAAAAGACAUAAUUCAUAACUAAUUAUUUUACUAUAAAACAUAGUCAGUUCCAUAUUUUUAAUAAAAACUACACAUUUCAAGGAGCACAACAAAAUUUUGUUCACCAAAAUUGGAGUUACCAAACUCCAGAUAUGAAUUUCCAAAGAUUCUAACAAAUCAUCUACAAACAGGUCCUGAUGGCACUAUUCACCUGAGUCACGAACUUCGCAAUUAGACCCCUGCCUUGUGUCUAAUUCAAACGCGAGGUUCCUGGCGUGAACUGAAAACAGAGGAAGCUCGUCGGAGCUCGCAGUUUCGGCGUUGGGGUACUCGUCGGCAGCAUUGGAGCAGCGGUGGAGUUCACCUGGACUCACGCACACCCUUUGGUUCCCUCUACUUGGCCAGAGGUGGUCUGUGGAGGCAUGGCCACGUGAACAGCGGCACUGGCGGAGCUCCGGACGGGGCUAGGGAAAAACGUGGCGCUCCGGCCACUGGGAAGGCGAGGGGACGAGUUGGGGAGCAUCAGGGGCUCAGCACGACUUCGUCAAGCUGCUCAGAAGUGGUGGAGAAGCACGGAGGAGGGCUGGCCACGUGAAGCGCCCACGGCGGCGCUUUCGGCCGGAGUUAGGGGAGAAGAAGAAGCUCCGGCGAUUGGGCGGGUUUGAGGGCGUGCUAGGGAGCGCUCUGGGUUCGCAAGAGUGCGGCGAAAGUGGUGGAAGGGUCAAUUGAGUUGGAGAGGGAUCGAGUAUGGUGUAUUUGCGAAGGGAGUGGUCGCCGGUGGUUUUGGCCGUCGAAACAGAGGAACACGAAGUCGGCCGCGUGGGCAUUCAAAAGGACGAGGCGGAGGGGUCGCGGGCGUCCACGUCGCGUGGUGACGCGGCCGGCAAGUAGCUGCGUGGCGGCGAGGCGCGCGCGCGGCGCUGCACGGCCUGCGGCCGCGCGGUGACUGGAGCUCGUGAUCCAUAUCGGGACACUGUAGCAAGCUCUAUCCCUCCCUUCCCUGUCUUUUGCAAAUUACUCUCAAAAAUUGAACUGAAGUCAAAUUUCUGCCAAAAUAAAAGUUGUUCAGAAUUUUGAAUGCUACAAAACAUCUUUAAGGAUCCAAAGCUGAUUUUGAACGGAGAGGGACGAAUUUGAGCCAAACCGUUUGAAAUUCAAAUUCCAAUUUGGGGGCAAAACUGAUUUGAAUUAGGGCAGAAUAGAAAUUCCAAAAUUACUUUUGAUUUUUAUCAACAACUUGAAAAAUUCCCAACAUAAAAGUUGUUCAUUUUGUUGAGCUCUACAACUUUUAUGUUGAUCACUUUUCAAGAUUCCAAACAGAUUUUGAAUUGGGGAUUCAAAUUGGAAAAGGGGACACUUUCUAGAAAUCUGUAUUUUCAAAAUUACUUUGAAUUUUGUAUUGAAACUUCAAAAACUCAAAACACUAAAGUUGUACAUCUUGACAAGAUCUACAACUUUGAUUUUGGACUCAACCUCAAAUUUUGCUUGGUUUUUAAAUUACACAAAAGGGGGCAAAUCCAGGGUUUUAAAAUCAGGGUUUUCCCCCCUAUUUUAUCGGAAACCUUCCGCCCUAGGGGUUAUACAACCAACACAAGCAUCACUUCACAACAUAAGUACACUCUACUUCCCUAAGCACAAGCAAUCAAAAUAAACUUGUUUUAAGUUGAUGCAUAAUAAUGUGCUUAACAAAUAUGCUUUGCAAUGCUUAUGAUGACAUGAUCCGUUUUUAGUGUUCGUAACAUCAGGGAUGUUACAGCCCUUCCCCCUUAAAGAAAUCUCGUCCUCGAGAUUUAAAGCCUUAGGGUAUGUAAUGGAAAAGGAAAUGUGUUAAGCACAUUAACUUCUGAGAAGUUCAUAAAACAACUAUGAUUGGUCUGAGAAAUACAACUAAGAGCAACAAGAAGUUGUAAUCAACCAGGAAUUUUAGAGAAUUCAUAAGAAGGUAUGAAUCUCCAAAUGAGCUUCCAAGGAGAAUGAAAGCAUACUAACUGUAGACUAUAGUGGAGCAUGACCAGAGAUCCCGAUAUUUAACGAGCACCUGGUAGUAUUUCCUUAUGGCCGCGGUUCCACAGGAGACUACAAGGCUCGACGUUAUAACGUGAUCACGGAUCAUGGUACCUACUAUAGAGCACAGUUACAAUAGCUUUCAACCAAUCUAUGUUGGUUAUCCAAGUCAAGGGUUUAGGUAAUUCCCACAAAGAUAUGGGCAUGGGUUCCCAUGAUAGGGCUUAAAGAGCGAGGGCACCUUAGUUGUGGGGCUAUAAUGGAUCAUGCCCAUAACCUCGAUACCUGCACGAGCCCAGCAGAAAUUUGUGUCAUCCGGACACACAAAAGACUCUAGGUUCCGACGCGGCACCGGGGUCACGGGACAUGGCACCACUAUAGGGCACCACAACAAUAACCCAUGUCUCACAAUACCAAGAAUGUAACUAAGAUCAAAAGUCGAUCACAACCACAAGGCGUUUAGGGAACUCAAAAGGACAAAUUUGAAUCCCUAAGGAGUGUCCAAAGAAUGAAACACCCUAAUUGUGGACUAUAAGGGAUCAUGAUCAUAUACUUUGAUAACAAUGAGCGCCCAGCAGUAUUUCCUCAUGGUCAUGAGCCAUAGGAGACCCCAGGUUUCGACAUUGUUACCUAAGUUACAAGUCAUGGUACCUUAAGAGGACACAAUCAUAGUGUCAUUCAAUCAACACAUAUGUCAUCAAAUGACAGCAAGGAGGUAGCAUGUGUCAAGUUAGAUGAAAUCAAGGAAGGUCACAUGCAUAACAAGAGAAUCAAGUAUUAGGAUCUUAUGGAGUAAAAGAUUAUCAAUCGGUUAACGAAAGCUGGUACAUGAUGAGAUUCAUCAAUAAAACAGCUAUAAUGAAUAAUAACUGUUUUUGAAGCAUAUGGAGGGGUUUUUAAGUAUCAUUAUAUUGUCAUGUUAUGCAUGGUAUGCAAUAUGCUCGCCCUAUACGUUUUCUCAACGGCGAAAGUGCUCCAUCUUCAUCAUGUUAGUAGAUUAUAGGGCUUUAUUUAUACAGUAUCUUCAUCGCUCUGGAUGGAAUGUUGCAAGACUCUAGACAAAGCAUUGUUGGAGUAGUUUGAUUCUUCACUUGGCUUGUUGAAGAAGAAUUGAAGUCCCUUUCAAUGCCUUCUAUUUGAGUCAGCAGACAGUCUUCACAGAACUUGAAUAGCAAGCAUAAGAAAAGUUAAGGAGCAUUUACAAGUUGUUGUCCUCAAAAACUUUUAAUUUGUAAAUUUCUUUUGAAGUUUUUCACAAGUAAUGUUGCAGAAGAUCCAUGUAUGAGCUCCGAUACCACUCUGUGGCAGAACCACCUAAAUUAUAUGGCCCACAUGCACCUAUCAUUGUCAUUAAGACCUCUGAUUACUGCACAUGAGAGUCAUAUAACCCAGGUAGUCUGUCGGGUGCCCUUAGAGGACCCCGAAUCAUCCACAUUUUAACUCAUACAGGAUCAACAUGGAGUUACCACAACAUUACAUCAUUUGUUACAAAAAUAACUUACAUUGGAGUGCGGAAGAUUUAUAACUCAAUUUACAACAUAUGAUGGAAUAUAAACAACUAAAUUUCCAAAAGGUGUGCGGAGUAGCGGAAGCAUCUUAGGUGAAGCUUCUAAGGUAGAAGAGGUGGAUAAAUCAUGUCGCGCCCACCGACAUGACCUCCAUUAGCAGCAUAAGUCAGCACCUGCAACAGGGGUUAUAAAACCCUAAGUACGGGAGUACUCAACAAGACUUACCCGGCAGAAAAAGAGGAGAACUUAG
rnacentral:lncRNA from 1 species